GUGCCAGCAGCCGCGGUAAUACGGAGGAUGCAAGCGUUGUCCGGAUUCAUUGGGUUUAAAGGGUGCGUAGGCGGAGAAUUAAGUCAGUGGUGAAAGCUCGCAGCUUAACUGUGAAAAUGCCAUUGAAACUGAUUUUCUUGAGUUCGAUUGAGGUAGAUGGAAUGUAUCAUGUAGCGGUGAAAUGCUUAGAUAUGAUACAGAACACCAAUUGCGAAGGCAGUCUACUAAGUCGAUACUGACGCUGAGGCACGAAAGCAUGGGGAGCAAACAGGAUUAGAUACCCCCGUAGUCC
rnacentral:rRNA from 1 species